GCUGUUUUACGAACGGACUACGAAUUAGAGGACAAAACGGUCCGAAAGUGGGAAAAAUUUGCGGCGGUGGCUAGAAAUUGAUGGAAACGGUGGAGAAAAACACAUGAACUGGACUCUAACAAGACCUAACCAGCAACAAGACCUCGACCAGGACACAAACUCAACACUGCGGACUCUGAAACUGAAAUAUGCAGAGGCUAUGGCGCGGAAGGGUUGUAGGACAGGAAAACGAUGUGGCACUGGACUUAUGGGACGAACACAAGAACACCCGAAACUAAGGGUAGAUAUGAACCUAACGGUAUACCUCAAGCUUUGAUUACCACUUGAUGAGAACAAGGGUGGUCAGAUCUUCCAAAAUGUUCUGGUAACUCUCGAUUUGGUGGAGACGAGGCACAAAUCGAUCCGGCUUCCGAACAACACGAUCUGAAACCAUGCAAGUUUUUUUUUAUUUUUUUGAUAUUUUUCUUUUAUUUAGGAGCACUAAAGAAGUAACCACAGAAAUUUGAGCUUAAACAAGUGAUAGACGUGGCCUGCGGAAUUCUCUGAAGAUUGCGAAAAAUGUGAAAAAAACUUCACGAGGUGAAAACUCAAACUUCGGUGGUGAAUUUGGAGAUUAUAAAAUUGUCAAACCCCCCAAAGGCGGGGACAGACAGAUCCAAAAAAAUUUUCUCAUCGAUUUUGAUAAAUGGAACGUUGUAAUCGGAGUUCAUAUUCGAAAGUUAUGUCGUUUUACGAACGGACUCCGAAUUAGAGGACAAAACGGUCCGAAAGUGGGAAAAAUUUGCAGCGGUGGCUAGAAAUUGAUGGAAACGGUGCGGAAAAACACAUUAACGGGACUCUAACAAGACCUAACCAGCAACAAGACCUCGACCAGGACACAAACUCAACACUGCGAACUCUGAAACUGGAAUAUGCAAAGGCUAUGGCGCGGAAGGGUUGUAGGACAGGAAAACGAUAUGGCACUGGACUUAUGGGACGAACACAAGAACACCCAAAACUAAGGGUAGAUGUGAACCUAACGGUAUACCUCAAGCUUUGAUUACCACUUGAUGAGAACAAGGGUGGUCCGAUCUUCCGAAAGGUUCUGGUAACUCUCGAUUUGCUGGAGACGAGGCACAAAUCGAUCCGGCUUCCGAACAACACGAUCUGAAACCAUGCAAGUUUUUUUUAUUUUUUUAAUAUUUUUGUUUGACUUAGGAGCACUAAAGAAGUAACCCCAGAAAAUUUGAGCUUAAACAAGUGAAAGACGUGGCCUGCGGAAUUCUCUGAAGAUUGCGAAAAAUGUGAAAAAACUUCACGAGGUGAAAACUCAAACUUCGGUGCUGAAUUUGGAGAUUAUAAAAUUGUCAAACCCCCCAAAUGGUGGGGACAAACAGAUCCAAAAAACUUUUCUGAUCGAUUUUGAUAUUUGGAACGUUGUAAUCGGAGUUCAUAUGCGAAAGUUAUGGCUGUUUUACGAACGGACUCCGAAUUAGAGGACAAAACGGUCCGAAAGUGGGAAAAAAUUGCGGCGGUGGCUAGAAAUUGAUGGAAACGCUGGGCAAAAACACAUAAACUGGACUCUUACAAGACCUAACUAGCAACAAGACCUCGACCAGGACACAAACUCAACACUGCGGACUCUGAAACUGAAAUAUGCAGAGGCUAUGGCGCGGAAGGGUUGUUGGAUAGGAAAACGAUAUGGCACUGGACUUAUGGGACGAACACAAGAACACCCGAAACUAAGGGUAGACGUGAACCUAAUGGUAUACCUCAAGCUUUGAUUACCACUUGAUGAGAACAAGGGUGGUCCGAUCUUCUGAAAGGUUUCGGUAACUCUCGAUUUGGUGGAGACGAGGCACAAAUCGAUCCGGCUUCCGAACAACACGAUCUGAAACCAUGCAAGUUUUCUUUAUUUUUUUGAUAUUUUUCUUUUACUUAGGAGCACUAAAGAAGUAACCCCAGAAAAUUUGAGCUUAAACAAGUGAAAGACGUGGCCUGCGGAAUUCUCUGAAGAUUGCGAAAAAUGAGAAAAAAACUUCACGAGGUGAAAACUCAAACUUCGGUGGUGAAUUUGGAGAUUAUAAAAUUGUC
rnacentral:lncRNA from 1 species